UGGGGAAUAUUGGACAAUGGGCGCAAGCCUGCUCCAGCCAUGCCGCGUGAGUGAUGAAGGCCCUAGGGUUGUAAAGCUCUUUCACCGGUGAAGAUAAUGACGGUAACCGGAGAAGAAGCCCCGGCUAACUUCGUGCCAGCAGCCGCGGUAAUACGUAGGGGGCUAGCGUUGUUCGGAUUUACUGGGCGUAAAGCGCACGUAGGCGGACUAUUAAGUCAGGGGUGAAUUCCCGGGGCUCAACCCCGGAACUGCCUUUGAUACUGGUAGUCUUGAGUUCGAGAGAGGUGGGGGGAAUUCCGAGUGUAGAGGUGAAAUUCGUAGAUAUUCGGAGGAGCACCAGUGGCGAAGGCGGCGCGCUGGCUCGAUAAUGACGCUGAGGUGCGAAAGCGUGGGGAGCAAACAGC
rnacentral:rRNA from 1 species